rnacentral:rRNA from 1 species
UACGAAGGGGGCUAGCGUUGUUCGGAAUUACUGGGCGUAAAGGGCGCGUAGGCGGGUGCUCAAGUCCGUGGUGAAAUCCUCCGGCUCAACCGGAGAACUGCCUCGGAUACUGGGUGCCUCGAGGGUGGUAGGGGUAUGCGGAACUAUCGGUGGAGCGGUGAAAUGCGUUGAUAUCGAUAGGAAUCUCCGGUGGCGAAGGCGGCAUACUGGACCACCUCUGACGCUGGAGGCGCGAAAGCCAGGGGAGCAAACGGG